CAGGAAGCAGCUUGCUGCUUUGCUGACGAGUGGCGGACGGGUGAGUAAUGUCUGGGAAACUGCCUGAUGGAGGGGGAUAACUACUGGAAACGGUGGCUAAUACCGCAUAACGUCGCAAGACCAAAGAGGGGGACCUUCGGGCCUCUUGCCAUCAGAUGUGCCCAGAUGGGAUUAGCUUGUUGGUGAGGUAACGGCUCACCAAGGCGACGAUCCCUAGCUGGUCUGAGAGGAUGACCAGCCACACUGGAACUGAGACACGGUCCAGACUCCUACGGGAGGCAGCAGUGGGGAAUAUUGCACAAUGGGCGCAAGCCUGAUGCAGCCAUGCCGCGUGUAUGAAGAAGGCCUUCGGGUUGUAAAGUACUUUCAGCGGGGAGG
rnacentral:rRNA from 6 species